rnacentral:tRNA from 1 species
AGCUCUGGGGUGUUACAUGUAAGAUUGCAAAUCUUAAGAAGCAAGCUAAUUUCUUGCCGGGGCUU